rnacentral:tRNA from 2 species
UCCUUGUUAGCUCAGUUGGUAGAGCGCUCCGCUUGAAAAGAGGUCCCUGGUUCAAUACCAGGACCAGGCA